rnacentral:lncRNA from 1 species
AGUAUUGGUCAUAAAUUAAUUAGGAAUUAAUUUGGUGACCAAAAGAGAUUAAUUGAAUAAAGGGGUAUAAACUAUCAAAUGUAUGAUAGUUGAGUUUUGGGUUAAGGAAACCUAAUGGGCUUAAGGGGGAACGAAAUUAUGAUGGGUAUCCAUCAUAUUUUCGUCCAAGGCCUUAUUCCAGAAGGUUCCUUGGGCUGCUUGGUGGCUAAGCUGUCCAUUAGGGUUUAGACUGAAACCCUAGUAACCUGUAAGUAUAAAUAUGACCCCUAGGGCAUUGAAUUCGGCUACCACUUGAUUCUAAGAGAACCCUAGGCCGAUUUCUAGCCUCUCUCUCCCUCUCUCAUAUUGCCUUCUUGCUUGUGGGGUUUGUGAACCAUUAGAGGAGUUGCAUUUGUGACUCUAAGCUCAAGAGAAGAAGAAAAGAAGAUCUAAGCCAACAUUUGAAGAGGUAAACAUCUAGAUCUGAUUCUACAUGUUGUUUUUGUUAUUUGUAUGCUAGAUUAGGGUUUGUAAGUCUUGGAAUCAAAGCAUGUUCAAUAGAGAAACCUAGAUCCAAGCAUUAGGGUUUGUAUGAGCACAUAGGAAUGUUUCUUAUGCAUAAAACCCAUCAGUGGUAUCAGAGCUUUGAUUGGUUUCAGUUGUAUGUGAUGCUUAACUGUUUUGUUUGCUAAAAAUAGAGUUUUUGGCCUUUGCCCGACUCAACUCGGCGAGUCAGUAUCUGGACUCGGCGAGUUGGCCCUUACUCGGCAAGUCCAGGUCUGACUCGGCGAGUCAGUGCGUCAGACAGAGGGUAUUUCGGGAUUUAACUGCUGUUUUGACUUGGAUUUGAUGCUUAAAUUGUUUUUUGAAGUUAAAAUCCAAAUUUUAUCUUAAUUAAGUGAUUAUCCUUGCCAAAACAAUAGAUAAUUUCAAAUCUUUUAAAUAUUGGUUGUUUAUAUGAUAAAUAUGGAUUAUUUAAAGUUAUUUGGUAAUUAUCUAAUGACUAAAAUAAGAUUAGGUCAAAUAUAGAUAAUUAUGAAAUUAAUUGGUUAAUUUGAAUUAUUUGUUAUUUGAUCCCUUGUGUUUUGAAAAGUUCAAUACUUUCCCUCAAUUUUUGAAAUUUGAAUUUAUGAUAAAAAGUUUAAUUUUGAGUAAUUUAAAUUUCAAACCCUUAGAAUUUUACAAGUUUAAAAUUGAGUAAAUUACACGAAUGGUCCCUAUGGUUUGGGGUAAUUUGCACAUUUGGUCCCUAACUAAUUUUUUUAAUUCGAAAUGUUCCUACUAUUUGUUUUUGUUACGUGCUUGGUCCCUACUAUUUGUUUUUGUUACACGUUUGGUCCCUAUCUUAGCUAAAAAGACUUUUAUUUAAAUAGGUAAAAAUGAUGGGGUAGGUAAGGUAAGAUGAAAGGUGUGAGAUUGUGGGUGUGUUUAUUUAAAUAAAUCAAAAAAUCAAUGGCAAAAUAGUCUUUUUAGGUAAGUCAGGGACCAAGCGCGUAAGAAAAAAAAAAGUAGAGAUCUUCCGUGUUAAAAAAAUAAGUUAGGGACUAAACGUGUAAAUUACCGUAAACCAUAGGGACUAUUCGUGUAAUUUACUCUUUAAAAUUCAACCCUAUACUAUUAUAUAUUAUUACAAGUUUAAUAUAUAUAUAUAUNNNNNNNNNNNNNNNNNNNNNNNNNNNNNNNNNNNNNNNNNNNNNNNNNNNNNNNNNNNNNNNNNNNNNNNNNNNNNNNNNNNNNNNNNNNNNNNNNNNNNNNNNNNNNNNNNNNNNNNNNNNNNNNNNNNNNNNNNNNNNNUUUUUAAAUUAAAUAGCCUUAAUAUUCGAAAAUUUUAAAUACACAUUAAGAUACUAGUAUUUUGAAAUGCUUUAAAAUACACCCUUAUACAAUUAUGAUAUUAUAAGAUUAAUUAUUAUAUAUGUAUAAGAAUAAGCUAGUCUUAUCGCUAGUAGGCCUCAUUCACGAAGCCGGUCUAUAAGGUGGGUAUAAGGUUGCUGCCUAUAAAAUGGCGCUUAAUGGAUGUACACUCACAUCUACCGCUUGCUUGACUGGUGGAGGGUCGUUAGCCGAACGGAUAGGAUAGGGCACUUAAUUCCUCAUUAAAAGUAUAAUGGAAAUAUUAAAGUAACUACAUUGUUUUACAAAUUCCCAUUCUUAGUUACUUUAGGGUAAAAUGUGAAAAUGAUGCUAAUCCAUGGAAUUACACUUCGUACCCUUGUCAAACGUUGAUGGAGCGCGUGUGGUUAACCGGCACAUCAAUUUGGGGAUGACAUAGGUAGCGAAGGGUGACUCGAUGUUUGUCAUAGAUCAAUGGAGCGUGUGUGGUUUACCGGCACAUUGAUUAGGUGAUAGUGACGUUGAGUGCACCACGUUAAUUCGCAUGGUUAUUCACAAAUUUGUUUGCGAUCCUCGGCAUCCCAGUCGCAAAUGUGAAAUGCAUAUCGAGAUUUAAACAUGCCAUUGAAAAGUUCAAUGAAUCUCAAAGAUCUAGGAGUUUUCAAUACAUUUAAAACCUAAAUUGCUUUUUCGUUUUUCAUGGUGAGAAUUAGUGAAUCGUCAUUCACUUACCUUCAAGUUAUUUACUUUUAGAGUACGGCAUCCCUUUCUAAGUUGUAAAUAAUGUUGUUGGAUCCUAGCCCUAAUUUCUCAUUUGGGUGUUUAAUUAGGGAUUCAUUUCUAAUCAAGCUUUGUCCCUUUCUUUUUCAGAUGUCUGCUAACAACAACAACAACAACGCUUCUGGGUCAUUCUCGUUGAUGAACUUGUGUCAGAAAGUGACAUUUGAUGGUUCAAACUUCAACGAGUGGAUGAGGUAUAUUCGCAUGAUCACACGCUACGAGGACAAAGAAUAUGUCCUCGAUGAAAAGCUUGAGAAGAUCAUCCCAGAUGUUGCUACUCCUAAAGAAUUGGCCGCCUUUGAGGGCCAUGAGCGUGAUGCCACGAAAGUUCACUGCAUCAUGCUGGCCACCAUAAACCUCGAACUCCAAAAGUCCUAUGAGGACAUGUAUCCAUAUGAAAUGCAUCAGGAUUUGCUGGACAGGUAUCACCAGAGCGCGAGGCAAGAGCGCUAUGAGAUCAUUACUAACAUGAUCACCGCUAAGAUGGGGAGUGGAGAAUCCCUAACCUCUCAUUUGCAGAAAAUGCAGAGGUAUGUUGAUCGUAUUCUCAAACUUAAUGUUAAGUUUGAUGAGGAUUUGGCUAUCGACAUAAUCCUCCACUCCUUGCCCUCCUGCUACAAUCAGUUUAGGAUGACCUACCACAUGAACAAAGAGGAGGUCUCCUUGAGAAAGCUCCAAGGACUUUUGAGGACUGCUGAGAGCAACCUCAAAGACAAAUCCGUUGCACCGUCCCCUGCUGUGGCCGCUCCUGUGAUGGCAAUAGGUCAAGGAAAGGGUAAAAAGCGGAAGGCUCCAUGUAAGAGCCACCAUAAGGGAAAGCCCCGAGAUGGUUCGUCCUCAAGUGGGACCAAAGCUGGCCCUACUAAGCCCUCUUUCGAUCCCAAAGAAGCAGAGUGCUUCUAUUGCCACCAAAAGGGACAUUGGAAGCGAAGCUACCCACAAUAUCUGCAGGACAUAAGAGAUGGGAAGAUUAAGCCCACCUUUGAAGGUAUGUAUCUUAUUAAAUCUAAUAGCUCGUCAUUUGCUACUUCAUGGGUUCUUGAUACAAGGUGUAGUUACCACAUUUGUUCUGAUAUGCAGGGCCUAAAAAGAAGUAGGGAGAUGGAACAUGGGAAGAUGAACCUGAUUAUGGGAAACAGAAGAUCGUCGCCUGUGACCAAAGUCGGUGUUUAUUCUUUAGUGUUAAGUAAUGGGUUAGGGAUAGAUUUAGAAAAUUACUGUCAUUCGCCAGAUAUGGCAAGAAACAUUAUUUCAUUUCACGGGUUGUUUAGACAAGGUUUCAGAUAUUCUUUUGAUAAUAGUAAUGGUUCUAUUAAUGUUUAUUUGAAUGGUGUCUUUUAUUUCAAUGCAUUACCUUGUAAUGGGAUUUAUGAAUCUGUGAUGAUUGUUGACAAUUCAGGAAAUAAUGUUUUGAACAUUGAUUUGUCUACUAGUUUAGACAAAGCAUGCUUGUGGCAUUGUCGCCUUGGCCAUGUCAACAAGAAAUGCAGAGUCCAACUCCAAAAGGAUGGAGUGUUGGAGUCAUUCGACCUUAGGGACGAUGACACGUGUGAAUCUUGUUUACUUGGGAAGAUGACCAAGUCACCCUUUACUGGCACUUGUGAAAGGGGUGAGGGUUUAUUGGAUCUCAUACACACCGAUGUAUGUGGGCCCUUUAGAUCCACCACAAGGGAUGCUUGCCGCUUCUACGUGACUUUUACAGAUGAUUAUAGCAGAUAUGGAUAUAUCUACUUAAUCAAGCAAAAGUCGGAAACCUUUGAAAAGUUCAAAGAGUUUAAGAAUGAAGUGGAGAAUCAGCUGGGCAGGAAAAUCAAGAUGCUUCGGUCAGACCGAGGAGGAGAGUACCUAAGUCUUGAGUUUCACGACUAUCUAAAAGAAUGUGGAAUCGUUUCGCAAUUGACGCCUCCGAGAACGCCACAAUUGAAUGGUGUGGCUGAGAGACGUAAUCGGACCUUGUUGGACAUGGUUCGUUCUAUGAUGAGUCGGACUUCGUUACCAAUAGCUUUCUGGGGGUAUGCCUUAGAGACUGCCGCCCAUAUACUUAACUUAGUUCCCACUAAGAAGGUUUCCAAGACUCCUCACGAGAUGUGGACAGGGAAGGCUCCCUCGUUGGCACAUAUCAAGGUUUGGGGUUGUGAGGCUUUCGUAAGACGAGAGACUCACGACAAACUAGAACCUCGUAGUGAGAAGUGUUAUUUCAUCGGCUAUCCGCAGAAGUCUUUUGGCUACCUUUUCUAUAGACCGAGUGACAAUGUUGUCUUCGUUGCUAGAAGAGGGGUUUUCCGAGAAAGGGAAUUAAUAAGCCAAGAAGACAGUGGGAGGCAAAUUGAACUUGAAGAAAUUCAAGAUCAAAGCGAUGAAGGAACCUCGGACACUGGCACUCAACUUGAGGAGGAAACUCCUGUUGAACCUAUUGACGAGUCCCUACCUCUUCGACGUUCCACUAGGGCUAGCGUUCCACCCCAGUUUUAUGGUUUUCAUAUUACUACUGAAGGGGAUACAUUUAUUAGUGAUAGUACACUAGUAAAUUUGGAUGAACCUAGCAGCUAUAAGGAAGCCAUGGCAGGCCCGGAGUCUGCAAAAUGGAAAGAGGCUAUGGACAGCGAGAUUCAGUCCAUGUACGACAACCAAGUUUGGAAUUUGGUUGAUAAUGUACCGGGUCGUAAGACAGUCGGGUGCAAGUGGAUCUUCAAGAAGAAGACGGACAUGGAUGGGAAAGUGCAUACUUAUAAAGUGCGAUUGGUUGCGAAGAGCUUCACUCAAACUCCUGGAGUUGACAAUGAUGAGACCUUCUUAGUAGUUGCGAAGAUAAAAUCUAUUAGGGUGAUGCUUGCAAUAGCUGCAUAUCAUGAUUAUGAAAUAUGGCAGACGGACGUGAAAACCGCUUUCCUUAAUGGAAAGUUGGUUGAGGAUGUCUACAUGAAUCAGCCAGAGGGUUUUGUCGAUGCGAAGCAUCCAAAUAGAGUAUGCAAGCUUGAGAAAUCCAUUUAUGGAUUGAAACAAGCAUCUCGCAGAUGGAAUCUUUGUUUUGACGAGAAGGUUAAAGAGUUUGGCUUUCUGCGAAGCGAAGAUGAAUCUUGUGUGUAUGUCAAAGCUAGUGGGAGUAUAGUGACUUUCCUCGUAUUGUAGGUCGAUGACAUACUGCUCAUAGGAAAUGAUGUCCUAACCUUGCAGGGGGUCAAAUCCUGGCUUGGGAAAUGUUUCGCUAUGAAGGACCUCGGAGAGGCUGCAUAUAUUCUGGGAAUAAGAAUAGUAAGAAACAGGGAAAAGAGACUGAUAGGACUCAGUCAGGAUACAUACUUGGAAAAGGUACUAAAGCGUUUUAGUAUGGAAAAUUCCAAGAAAGGGGAGUUGCCAAUCCAAAGCAAUACCAAGCUGAGUAAGACUCAGAGCCCGAGUACAGAGACAGAGAUAGCUGAUAUGAGCCGAGUACCUUACGCUUCCGCAGUAGGCUCUAUCAUGUACGCUAUGACUUGUACUCGCCCUGAUGUGGCCUUCGCUUUGAGCAUGGUCAGCAGAUAUCAAGGGAAUCCUGGUAGAGCUCACUGGAUUGCAGUUAAGAAUAUUCUUAAGUACCUUCGGAGGACCAAGGAAUGGUUUCUAGUCCUCGGUGGGAGUGAUGACUUAAGGGUACGAGGGUACAGUGAUGCUAGUUUUCAGACGGAUCGGGAUAACUUCCGAUCGCAGUCGGGCUGGGUCUUUACCCUAAAUGGAGGAGCAGUGACUUGGAAAAGUUCCAAGCAAGAGACCGUAGCUGAUUCAACGUGCGAAUCAGAGUAUAUUGCGGCGAGCAAAGCGUCAAAGGAGGCGACAUGGUUGAAGAACUUCAUUGGAGACCUUGGAGUUGUGCCAUCCAUAAAAGAGUCGACGGAAAUUUUCUGUGAUAAUGAAGGAGCGGUUGCCUUGACCAAGGAACCGAGAGAUCACGGUAGAUCUCGACAUAUUGACAGAAAAUAUCAUUUUAUCAGACAUCAGGUAGAAGAGGGACUCCUCGUUGUGAAGAGGGUAUCAUCAGAAGAAAACCCAACAGAUCCCCUUACGAAGGGACUGAGUAGUGUCAAACACUUGCAGCACACUAGGAGUAUUGGGCUGAAGGAUGAUAUGAGUUUGGAUUAGAUAGGAAAUGUGUAAUAGAUAGUUUGUACUUGACAUUCGAUGAAUAAAUAAAAUGUGUUAUUUAUGAGUAAAGCUACUAUCUUGUGUUGGUUAUUUAUCUAUUGUUUCCAUUUUGCAUGUUUUGACUUCCUGAAUGAUAGGAUUAUUCAAAAAGGUCCGCAGUCGAUCAUAUUUUGGAAGUAGAUAUGAAUGAAGAAUAUCAUGAAUUGACUGUAGAUUGUCUAAAAGGUUUUGGACAUAGCAAAGGUUUGCUGCAAAGUUCAUGAGUGCUUAUGAAUAUGAGUUGAGCAUUGGAAUAAACUCGAGUUUGUAGUAUCACUUCGUGGUGUUUCACCUUAAGUGAUCGCAAAGCGAUAACAUCAUAUAGUCUUAAAACUUAGAGAUAUGAUUGUUGUUUGCUGGUUAGUUAUGCAUUGAUAAUGUGUAAAUGCAUCAGUAACUUGAUGUUAUAAAAUGCAUUAUUGUGUGUAAUCUAAUUAGUAAAUAAUGGAUGCAUAUGAGUCGAAGUUGAUUUGUUCCUUUUAUUCUAUGAGAAUAAAAGUGAUAUAUUGGCCACUUGAUGAUUUGGUUUGACUUAUGUGUCGGGCCCGGUCAGAAUGAAGUUGAUGUGUUCAGCUAAAUUCUAUGUCAAACAAAUCGGAAAUCAAGGAACUCCUGCUGGACAAUAAGCAUUGUCAACAUGAUAUCCAGAAUAGAGGAUUAUACGAUCCCUUAUCUAAAGGACAAGUUGAUCAGAGUUGACAGCAAAGUAUAAGAGCUACGAUUGCUAAUCGGAUUCUGAAGUCGUAUGUGAGAUAUAGUUACUAGACUUAUCCAAGUGGGAGACUGUUGGAAUAGUGUCUAAGCCCGUAACUAUAUUUGGUAUGUACUUGACCCGGUUGUGCAUGGUCCUUUUGGGUUGCCUUCUCCAAAGCAACUUGACAAGGUAAUUUAAGGAGAAAGAGAGAGUAUUAUGAUUUAUUAAUAUAUUAUAAGAAUAAUAUAUUAAAGGAGAAAUCAUAUUUAUUUAAUUAGUAUUGGUCAUAAAUUAAUUAGGAAUUAAUUUGGUGAUCAAAAGAGAUUAAUUGAAUAAAGGGGUAUAAACUGUCAAAUGUAUGAUAGUUGAGUUUUGGGUUAAGGAAACCUAAUGGGCUUAAGGGGGAACGAAAUUAUGAUGGGUAUCCAUCAUAUUUUCGUCCAAGGCCUUAUUCCAGAAGGUUCCUUGGGCUGCUUAGUGGCUAAGCUGUCCAUUAGGGUUUAGACUGAAACCCUAGUAACCUGUAAGUAUAAAUAUGACCCCUAGGGCAUUGAAUUCGGCUACCACUUGAUUCUAAGAGAACCCUAGGCCGAUUUCUAGCUUCUCUCUCUCUCUCUCAUAUUGCCUUCUU